CCCUUAGAUGUUCUGGGCUGCACGCGUGCUACAAUGGCGCUUGCAACAAGAUUGCCAACCCGAAAGGGUGAGCGGAUCUUUGAAGUGGCGUCGUGAUCGGGACAGUUGAUUGCAAUUAUUCGACUCGAACGAGGAAUUCCUUGUAAUCGCGAUUCAUCAUAUCGCGCUGAAUACGUCCCUGCCCUUUGUACACACCGCCCGUCGCACCUACCGAUUGGAUGGUCCGGUGAAGCCUCGGGAUUGUGGUUCUUGCCGCUUUAUUGUGGCGUGACCGCGAGAACUUGUCUAAACCUUAUCAUCUAGAGGAAGGUGAAGUCGUAACA
rnacentral:rRNA from 1 species